GGGGGGGGGGGGGGGGGGGGCUGGCGGGGGGGGGGCGGGCGGGGGGGGGGGGCGUGCGCGCGGAGGUAGCGGCGGACGGGGGGGUAAUGCCUGGGAAGCUGCCUGGUAGUGGGGGAUAACGUUCCGAAAGGAACGCUAAUACCGCAUACGUCCUACGGGAGAAAGCGGGGGACCUUCGGGCCUUGCGCUCUCAGAUGAGCCUAGGUCGGAUUAGCUAGUUGGUGAGGUAAUGGCUCACCAAGGCGACGAUCCGUAACUGGUCUGAGAGGAUGAUCAGUCACACUGGAACUGAGACACGGUCCAGACUCCUACGGGAGGCAGCAGUGGGGAAUAUUGGACAAUGGGCGAAAGCCUGAUCCAGCCAUGCCGCGUGUGUGAAGAAGGUCUUCGGAUUGUAAAGCACUUUAAGUUGGGAGGAAGGGCUGCUGGUUAAUACCCUGCAGUUUUGACGUUACCAACAGAAUAAGCACCGGCUAACUUCGUG
rnacentral:rRNA from 1 species